rnacentral:rRNA from 1 species
UACGAAGGGGGCUAGCGUUGCUCGGAAUCACUGGGCGUAAAGCGCACGUAGGCGGCUUUUUAAGUCAGGGGUGAAAUCCUGGAGCUCAACUCCAGAACUGCCUUUGAUACUGAGAAGCUUGAGUCUGGGAGAGGUGAGUGGAACUGCGAGUGUAGAGGUGAGAUUCGUAGAUAUUCGCAAGAACACCAGUGGCGAAGGCGGCUCACUGGCCCGGUACUGACGCUGAGGUGCGAAAGCGUGGGGAGCAAACAGG